UGUAUGCUGGCCUGCCUGUGGGACGCUGCGGUGAAAUCGCUGAAAGCGUGAGAAGAGAUUGAGCGGUUACAGUUCAGCCUAACCUCUGGAACACAUCGGUGCCUCCCCCCUCUCCCGGCUCCAGCUGCGUGGGAGCUCAGCUUGGAAUCGGAGAAGAUACCGUCACGCAAACUUGGAUUUUUAACAUUUUGAUUCGCUCGUUUCUUUUUUUUUUCUUUCUUUCCAUUUUUUUUUCUAGGAUUUUUGGUACAAGGGCAGUGAAAGCUUCUCAUUUCAAGAGGCGCAGAGAUACUGGAUACAUCGGUCUCGGUACAUAUGGAGGUGUGCAUGUGUGGGAAACAUUUUUCAUUGGAUUAGGUACUUUUUAGUGUUUCUGGAUUUUACAUUUUCUCUAUUUGAGCAAACGAAAAUCAGACAGCGGCUUUUUAUAAUUUCUGUAAUUUUACUGACAUCAUGGAUGAGGAAUACCAUCGUAAAGAUUGUUCCUGUCACAGUCUGUCACAUGGCUACAUGCAUAAGAGGAAUCAUGUCGCUGACACUGACGGAGCAGACAGUGGGAUAUUGACCGUUUAUGGAUACGCGUGAUGCGCUGAUGGGCUGCCUCCAGCGUUUGCACUUUUUGGUUUCAUAACUUUACCUGCUGUGGAUGCUUACUGGUUCCGCCUGUCAACGAGACCAAUACCUCUUUAUUUGGGAUAUACACGAGCACAGCUGCCAGGAUGAAAGGAUGCGCGGUCUGUUUCAUUCACAGUGGAAUAAUACACUUUAAUAUUAUGGGAUGUGCAUACGUCAGCGUUGACAGAUAUGUAACCAGACUGUGAUAAAGACAUGAACCGGAACCAGAAAAUGUGCAAGUCUGGCAGGGAUGGAGGAGGAGAACUGUGGGGUGGAAGAUGUGUUUGUGUACUGCUACCAGAUCCCGUUCCGUCUCCGUACUGGGGCAAGAGCCAAAGAACCGUCCCAACUGUAAGAGGAAGAAGGUACUUUUGGGAACCUGUCCCUGACCCACUCUGAGCACCCUGGUGGCGGUGGGGGGAAGGGGGGGGUGUGGGUAGGUGCUUGGGGGAUGGGAGGGGCACGAGAUGGAAUUCACUUCACCCCCCUUCAUCCUCUCACCUGGACUUCAGGACUCGAUGCCCAUUGGCGUGCGGCAAAUCGGAUCGAGACCUUGUGGAAUUAUGGGAAAUUGUGUUCUUUCAUGCCACUUCAUCUGCCAGCUGCUUCCUGUUUGUGGACCUACUUCCUGUGCAGACCUUUUUAAGAUGGAUUCCUCCACCCCUGACUCUGGACUAUGUGUUAUUGGCUUUUGUUUGAAGCCUUUGGACAUGUGAGUUCCUAAAGACGAAGAAGUGCUGGGUGUUCUUCAGCGUGUGGUGGGUGUGUGCGGUUGUAAGAUUCAUCUUGACGGGUGUCGUAAUGUUUGUGUGUGAAACAAAAAUCCUGGGACAGUUUCUUAGAAAAGCCUCCCUGUUCCUCGUUGUGUAAGAGUGUGAGGGUGUUGAAAAUAGGUGAGUGCUCCUGUCAUCCAUAUCACCAUUGACCCUGCCUCGCCUCAGACCCGCCUACCCAAUCUUACCACAGUUGCUGAGUGCUGACAUCUCUCUGACCUGCGUUGUCUGACCUUUGACCUCACUUGCGAUGUCUAUUGUGAGCGACACAUAAGCAUCUGUGCUGAUAAGAGCUUAUCUGGAGGUCAGGGGUGUUUGUAAACGCAGUUGUCUUGCGUCUGAGCCCUUCAAAUUUCCAAUAAAAGCAACGUAUGUGUGAAA